CUUUUUAGCUCACCUGGCCCGAAGGGCCAAGUGAGCUUUUCCCAUCACUUUGCGUCCGGCGUCCGUCGUCGUCGUCGUCCGUCGUCGUUAACUUUUACAAAAAUCUUCUCCUCUGAAACUACUGGGCCAAAUUAAACCAAACUUGGCCACAAUCAUCAUUGGGGUAUCUAGUUUAAAAAAUGUGUGGCGUGACCCGGCCAACCAACCAAGAUGGCCGCCAUGGCUAAAAAUAGAACAUAGGGGUAAAAUGCAGUUUUUGGCUUAUAACUCAAAAACCAAAGCAUUUAGAGCAAAU
rnacentral:lncRNA from 1 species